AACUAUUGACAAUGGAUCUCUUGGUUCUGGCAUCGAUGAAGAACGCAGCAAAAUGCGAUAAGUAAUGUGAAUUGCAGAAUUCAGUGAAUCAUCGAAUCUUUGAACGCACAUUGCGCCCCCUGGUAUUCCGGGGGGCAUGCCUGUUCGAGCGUCAUUACAACCCUCAAGCUCUGCUUGGUAUUGGGCUCCGCUGUCCUGGCGGGCCUUAAAAUCAGUGGCGGUGCCAUUCGGCUUCAAGCGUAGUAAUUCUUCUCGCUUCGGAGGCCCGGGUGCGUGCUUGCCAACAACCCCCAAUUUUUUCAGGUUGACCUCGGAUCAGGUAGGGAUACCCGCUGAACUUAAGCAUAUCAAUAAGCGGAGGCU
rnacentral:misc_RNA from 1 species